CCUCUGUAUAAUUUUCAUACUCAACUUUAAUAAUAUGUCUUAUUUAGAAUUUUUUUAUAGAUUAGUAUUUUUAUUGUUAUGAGAUGUUAAAAUAUGAAUAGUAGUUUAUAUGUGACUUAUGUUUUUUUAAAAAAAAUUUAAAAAAAUAAAUAAGAAGAACGGUCAAAAUUAUGCACGAAAAAUGAUAGCUGCAUUUAAA
rnacentral:pre_miRNA from 1 species